UACGGAGGGUGCAAGCGUUAUCCGGAUUCACUGGGUUUAAAGGGUGCGUAGGUGGGCAAGUAAGUCAGUGGUGAAAUCUCCGGGCUUAACCCGGAAACUGCCAUUGAUACUAUUUGUCUUGAAUACUGUGGAGGUCAGCGGAAUAUUUCAUGUAGCGGUGAAAUGCUUAGAUAUGACAUAGAACACCAAUUGCGAAGGCAGCUGGCUACACAAAUAUUGACACUGAGGCACGAAAGCGUGGGGAUCAAACAGG
rnacentral:rRNA from 1 species